rnacentral:ncRNA from 2 species
UCAUUGUGAAGCAGAAUUCACCAAGU